rnacentral:rRNA from 1 species
UAGGGAAUCUUCGGCAAUGGGGGGAACCCUGACCGAGCAACGCCGCGUGAGUGAAGAAGGUUUUCGGAUCGUAAAGCUCUGUUGUUAAGGAAGAACGAGUGUGAGAAUGGAAAGUUCAUACUGUGACGGUACUUAACCAGAAAGGGACGGCUAACUACGUGCCAGCAGCCGCGGUAAUACGUAGGUCCCGAGCGUUGUCCGGAUUUAUUGGGCGUAAAGCGAGCGCAGGCGGUUAGAUAAGUCUGAAGUUAAAGGCAGUGGCUCAACCAUUGUAGGCUUUGGAAACUGUUUAACUUGAGUGCAGAAGGGGAAAGUGGAAUUCCAUGUGUAGCGGUGAAAUGCGUAGAUAUAUGGAGGAACACCGGUGGCGAAAGCGGCUCUCUGGUCUGUAACUGACGCUGAGGCUCGAAAGCGUGGGGAGCGAACAGG